UCUUCUGCGGAAUAGCCACUGGAAACGGUGAGUAAUACCGCAUACGCCCUUCGGGGGAAAGAUUUAUCGGAGGAGGAUCGGCCCGCGUUGGAUUAGGUAGUUGGUGGGGUAAUGGCCUACCAAGCCUACGAUCCAUAGCUGGUUUUAGAGGAUGAUCAGCCACACUGGGACUGAGACACGGCCCAGACUCCUACGGGAGGCAGCA
rnacentral:rRNA from 1 species